CUAGUACUCCCUCCGUCCCAAAAUUCUUGUCUUAGAUUCGUCUAGAUACGGAUGUUCCGUCCCAAAAUUCUUGUCUUAGAUUCGUCUAGAUACGGAUGUAUCUAAUUCCGUAUCUAGACGAAUCUAAGACAAGAAUUUUGGGACGGAGGAAGUAGUAA
rfam:Triticum urartu cultivar G1812 contig410808, whole genome shotgun sequence.